GGUCGCUUAGCUCAGCAGGCGAGAGCGUCGGCACGACAAGCCGAAGGCGGGUGGUUCGAGCCCAUCAGCGACCA
rnacentral:tRNA from 1 species